AUGGAUUCUGGCCACAUCCUCAAGCGGGUAAGCAUUGAUGUCACAAGCCGCCACAGCACGCCGCCACCGCACGAGACGCCCGACGUGAGUCCUGAACGAGCAGUCUGUAUCGUGGGCAACGACGGGCGGCUCCACCUGAUCGACCCUGCCACUAGCGCAGUCAAACUCUUGCCUGACCCGCCGUCAUCAAACCACAUGUCUACUUCGUGCACGCUUGGGUACGCCGCCUUGACGGGAGAGUACAAGGUGCUCGCCAUCGCGAACGCAGCUAAGCAUACGUGGCAGCAGAUAUGCAAGAUCCUCACCCUCAACGAUAAUGGCGGGGAGCAGCGCUGGAGGGAGACGGAGAGCCCAGGGUACAGUUUGCUAGCGCCACUACCGCCAUGGACUUACAGCAGGGAGGUCGCUGUGGUCGAGGGGGUGGCCUACUUCCUGGUCAAGCCGGACGACGCGCUCGACGUGCAGCAUGCCUGGAUCAUGGCGUUUGACCUUGGAAACGAGGUGUGGCAGCCGGAUGCGCUCCAAGGCCCGGAGUGCAAGCACAAUGUCGCCUUAGCCACACUUGAAGGCAAACUCGUUGUGUGCCAUGACAACCGCCAAACCUUCAUGGAGCUAUGGUUUCUUGUGGACCCUGACCAGGCUGACUGGUGUUGCUCUCGUCACCGGUGCCGACUUCUGGCAUGUAUUUCGGGAAGCCAUUAG
rnacentral:rRNA from 1 species